CCUACGGGAGGCAGCAGUGGGGAAUAUUGCACAAUGGGGGAAACCCUGAUGCAGCAACGCCGCGUGAAGGAAGACGGUUUUCGGAUUGUAAACUUCUGUUCUUAGUGAAGAAUAAUGACGGUAGCUAAGGAGCAAGCCACGACUAACUACGUGCCAGCAGCCGCGGUAAUACGUAGGUGGCAAGCGUUGGCCGGAUUUACUGGGUGUAAAGGGAGCGCAGGCGGGAAGCCAAGUCAGCUGUGAAAACCACGGGCUUAACUUGUAGACUGCAGUUGAAACUGGUCUUCUUGAGUGAAGUAGGGGUUGGCGGAAUUUCGGGUGUAGCGGUGAAAUGCGUAGAGAUUCUGCGGAACACCGGUUGCGAAGGCGGCCAACUGGGCUUUAACUGACGCUGAGGCUCGAAAAUGUGGGGAGCAAACAGGAUUAGAUACCCCGGUAGUC
rnacentral:rRNA from 1 species